rnacentral:rRNA from 1 species
CACGUAGGGGGCUAGCGUUGUCCGGAUUUAUUGGGCGUAAAGAGCGUGUAGGCGGCCAGAUAGGUCUGCUGUGAAAACUCGAGGCUCAACCUCGAGAUGUCGGCGGAAACCAUUUGGCUAGAGUCCGGAAGAGGAAAGUGGAAUUCCUGGUGUAGCGGUGAAAUGCGCAGAUAUCAGGAAGAACACCCGUGGCGAAGGCGGCUUUCUGGGACGGCACUGACGCUGAGACGCGAAAGCGUGGGGAGCGAACAGG